ensembl:ncRNA F10G8.12 ncRNA
GGCGGAGCUCUCUCUUUCUCUCAAUUUUCUCGUCUCCGCUCUGUCGCUGACACUGGCCAUUCUCUCUAGUGUCACACUGGAAAGUGACUGACUACGUCCAGCGGGGGCAAAAGAGGCCUCCGGGCUGUCGCUUUUUCUCUCUUGAAGCUCCUUCUCUGUGCUCUAUUGCUCAACCUUUCUCUCGACUCCUUCUCCUCC